AGGAAUAUUGGUCAAUGGGCGAGAGCCUGAACCAGCCAAGUAGCGUGAAGGAUGACUGCCCUAUGGGUUGUAAACUUCUUUUAUAAAGGAAUAAAGUCGGGUAUGCAUACCCGUUUGCAUGUACUUUAUGAAUAAGGAUCGGCUAACUCCGUGCCAGCAGCCGCGGUAAUACGGAGGAUCCGAGCGUUAUCCGGAUUUAUUGGGUUUAAAGGGAGCGUAGAUGGAUGUUUAAGUCAGUUGUGAAAGUUUGCGGCUCAACCGUAAAAUUGCAGUUGAUACUGGGUGUCUUGAGUACAGUAGAGGCAGGCGGAAUUCGUGGUGUAGCGGUGAAAUGCUUAGAUAUCACGAAGAACUCCGAUUGCGAAGGCAGCUUGCUGGACUGUAACUGACGCUGAUGCUCGAAAGUGUGGGUAUCAAACAGGAUUAGAUACCCUGGUAGUCCACACAGUAAACGAUGAAUACUCGCUGUUUGCGAUAUACAGUAAGCGGCCAAGCGAAAGCGUUAAGUAUUCCACCUGGGGAGUACGCCGGCAACGGUGAAACUCAAAGGAAUUGACGGGGGCCCGCACAAGCGGAGGAACAUGUGGUUUAAUUCGAUGAUACGCGAGGAACCUUACCCGGGCUUGAAUUGCAACUGAAUGAUGUGGAGACAUGUCAGCCGCAAGGCAGUUGUGAAGGUGCUGCAUGGUUGUCGUCAGCUCGUGCCGUGAGGUGUCGGCUUAAGUGCCAUAACGAGCGCAACCCUUAUCGAUAGUUACCAUCAGGUUAUGCUGGGGACUCUGUCGAGACUGCCGUCGUAAGAUGUGAGGAAGGUGGGGAUGACGUCAAAUCAGCACGGCCCUUACGUCCGGGGCUACACACGUGUUACAAUGGGGGGUACAGAAGGCAGCUACACGGCGACGUGAUGCUAAUCCCUAAAGCCUCUCUCAGUUCGGAUUGGAGUCUGCAACCCGACUCCAUGAAGCUGGAUUCGCUAGUAAUCGCGCAUCAGCCACGGCGCGGUGAAUACGUUCCCG
rnacentral:rRNA from 1 species